rnacentral:misc_RNA from 1 species
GUGUGUGUGUGUGUGUGUGUAUAAGGCAUGAACCCUGUCUAGGAAAAUUGUCUCAACAAUUUGGGAUGAAUGAACUUGUGUGUGAAGUCCUAGGAUAUACCUAUUGGCGCUUGAGAACUGCAGAUGGGUAAUUGACUUCACAUAAACCUGUCUAAUUUAAAAUACAUUAAACACAGGUAAUCCAAAGUGGUCUUGAGCAUUGCAUUGUUGUGUUCUCUCCCAUAAUUUCCAAUUGC